CCCUUGGAUGAGAAAGCGAUGGUUUUGUAAAUUCUCACUGGCCUCGACAUUGAAUUCAAUCCAAUUGUUUCGGCCAUAGUUGUAAGAAUUGAACCUAUUAUAGUGAAUGAGUUAUGCGCUCAACUGUAAGCUUCAAAA